CAGUAGCCGCGGUAAUACGUGGGUGGCAAGCGUUGUCCGGAAUUAUUGGGCGUAAAGGGCUCGCAGGCGGUUUCUUAAGUCUGAUGUGAAAGCCCCCGGCUCAGCCGGGGAGGGUCAUUGGAAACUGGGAAACUUGAGUGCAGAAGAGGAGAGUGGAAUUCCACGUGUAGCGGUGAAAUGCGUAGAGAUGCGGAGGAACACCAGUGGCGAAGGCGACUCUCUGGUCUGUAACUGACGCUGAGGAGCGAAAGCGUGGGGAGCGAACAGGAUUAGAUACCCCUGUAGUCCCUGUCUCUUAUAC
rnacentral:rRNA from 1 species